rnacentral:rRNA from 1 species
AACGAACGCUGGCGGCAGGCUUAACACAUGCAAGUCGAACGGGUGUAGCAAUACAUCAGUGGCAGACGGGUGAGUAACACGUGGGAACCUUCCUAGGGGUACGGAACAACUCAGGGAAACUUGAGCUAAUACCGUAUACGUCCGUAAGGAGAAAGAUUCAUCGCCCCCAGACGGGCCCGCGUCGGAUUAGGUAGUUGGUGGGGUAACGGCCUACCAAGCCUACGAUCCGUAGCUGAUCUGAGAGGAUGAUCAGCCACACUGGGACUGAGACACGG